UGGAGGGGGGACCGCAUCCCGGCAGGGAUGGAGAGGGGAGCGGCAUCCCGGCAGGGAUGGAGAUGGGAGAGGCAUCCCGGCAGGGAUGGAGAUGGGAGAGGCAUCCCGGCAGGGAUGGAGAUGGGACCGCAUCCCGGCAGGGAUGGAGAUGGGACCGCAUCCCGGCAGGGAUGGAGAUGGGACCGCAUCCCGGCGGGGAUGGAGAUGGGACCGCAUCCCGGCGGGGAUGGAGAUGGGAGCGGCAUCCCGGCAGGGACGGGCAGGCACCGCGCCCCGCGCUCGGGGCCCGCGGCCGGGCUCUUCCUGGCAGCUGGAGACGGGCUUUGCUCUGUUCCGAGGGUGUAAAACUCCUUCCCAAACGCAGCAGUUCAAAGGCAGAGGGCUCCGGGGGUGAGCGCGGUCCCCCCUUCCCCGGCAGACGGGAGCGCGGGGCCGAGCUCCAGAUGUCCCCUUUGUCUCGGCACCAUUGUUUCCCAGCUCGGAGCAAUUCCCAUUCCUCACUGGCACGGGACGCUGUUUCCUGCGUCCGUUGUUGGUUUUUUUUUUUUAUUAUUUUUUUUUAAAUCGCUCUUAAUCGCGAGCCUAGUGGGGGCAUUUAGGUUCACAAUGAGCAAAAAGCCUCCUGGGUGAAAAAGCCGCAAUCUCCCCGGCUUUGAUGGCCUUGUUGGCCAGAAUGUGGGACUCCAGCAAACACUCUGCUCCAGCUCCAUUGAAACCAGAAAGGGCUGGCAAAUCCUGCGACGCUGGCCGGUGUUUGCUGAAGCCUUUGUUAACGUGUUAGAUAACCGAUUAAUCACAACUUCGAUAUUCAUAUGCAAAAUGUGCCUGGAGGACAAUUUAAUCAUUUAUUACGAGCACUUUAUGUAUUUACUUUCCCUUUCCCCUCCCGUCCGAGGAGCCGUGCUCAUUACCCGGGGGGUGCCCGCGGUGGGACGGGACACCGGGAGCCGCAUGGAAAAGGGGAAAACUGCACAAAGUUUCAGCCCACGCCGUGUUUUGGUGGGGAUUUGAAAGCCGGUGUGAUUAAAGUAAUUGAAAGGUUCUCUCUUAUUUUCCUUUCCCGUUCCUGUCUCGUCUUGUCACAUUAAAGGUUUUUAAGGACUUUAAUUAGGUGUGUUGGUUACGGAGCCGACAGAGAGCAGCCCCUUCCACGCCCAGAGCCUUGAUGGAAGAUGAUCACUGUGGCAGGUACAGCCUGCCAAGAUGAACCGGUAUAAAUUAACCAGGAAAGGUUAAAUUAGAGUAAAAUGAGGAUUGUAGACCAAUCUAGGAAGCAAAGUUAAUUCUGAGCCGGUGCUCUCAGCUGCAGCUGGGUGGACGACUCGGGAUUAGGAAGCCUUUCCAUGGGGAUCAUUGUUAAUAGUUUCUUUAAAAAUAAAUUCUGGUGUGGAAGGAUGAGUCAAGGCUGGGAACUGUCUGGGAGGACAGUGCGAGUCUUGUACAAAAUCUUAUUUUCCAAGCAGUGCAGAAAAGUGUAUUUUUUAAGCUCUGUGUAGAAAGCAAAGGUAACAAACACUUGUGAGGGCAACUAACAGGUCUGGGCCUGCUGAAUUCUGGGUAUCCCCAGGGGUGCUCUGGACCCUGUGGACUCCCCUGGGCUUAUUCCAGCCCAUUUGUGUCUUCCUUGCAUGACUCUUCCUGCCCCAGCACCUUCAUGGAUCCCGUGCCACUGCUCCCCAGCCACCCCAGGCAGCUGUUUUCCCCACGGGAUGUUGUCCCAGAGCAUCCCAGCACCAGGGACGACCUUGGCCACGACUCAUCUCAGACAUCCUGUCGUGGCAGCACCAGGUAUUUUGGAUGGACCCACCUGGUCAUGUUUUCAGUGGUCAUGACUGAAAAAAAUAGCAGUGUGAUAACAAUAUAUAAAUGGUUUUUUGUUAAUUUUUAUAUUUAAAUUACUAUACAGUACACAGGAAGACAGUAUUACCUGUGGAUUGCUCUUGUUCACUUUUUUAACUCUCCUAUAGUACUGUUGAACAGUGCAAGCAAGCAGAGAUUGAUCCUAUUCUUUACUUGAAUUAAAAAAAGAAUAAUCAUUGUUGUGUUUUCUCAGGAUGUCUGUUUGCUUUGAUAUUCAAUUACAGGGUUCAUUAAAUCAAGGGCCCCACCGCUAUAUUUCAUCUUUCCUUUGCUCUGUGAUGCUGUGGGGUGUGUUACACACACAGUGCAUGAGGCAAAAGCACGAGGCUGCCUCGUUGCCUGCGCUUCAGAACUAGAAUUUGCCACCUCAAAUCGGUGGGAAGUUGCAGUAUUCCCAAACCUGGAGCCUCACCCCUUGGCAGCACGUCCACAGCCGGCACUGCACCGGCGUGUGCUGCUCCCACACUCGGCUCUCCCGAGCUCUAAUAGCCAGGAAAAAUGUUUCUAAUUUGUUUGACGGUCUUUAAUCUGCCCCUUUGUUUGAGUGGUUGGUGUUGAAGUAUUUUUUCAAGGACUUUCGUGGUUGCUAUAGAUAUUUUAUUCCGUAACAAGGAUUACAUUGCGUGUAAUCCCGCGAAAAGAUACAGCAAUUAAUUUGAAAAUUGCUUAAGGAGUCGAUAAGUAUUUAAAACCUUAAUUACGUCUAACCUUGUUUUCUCUUGCAGCUCAGUCAGGCACAGCCUGGGGAGAGGGGGAAUGGCCUCGUGCCGUGUCAGCAUCACCUUCCCAGAGCCUCCCGGUGCCUCUGCCCCCACCAGCCGGGGCGGGAAGAGCCCGGAUCGGCCCCGCGGAGCUCCCGGGCGCGGGGAAGUCGUUCUUUAAAGCUCUGGAGAGAUGCAGUGCAUUUAUCAGCUCUGAGUGGAUAUCAUUGUGUUUAUAACAGAGUGGAGGCACCAUGCAAUUUUGCUCUUGAAAUUGGUUUAUAUAGAUGACUGGUUGCUGUGAAGUGUGUGUCAGAGUUGCAUGCAGCCGUUAUGAAGUAGUACAAUUGUCAUCGCUUCUUACAUGGUUGUUGAGAAGAGCUUGAGAGCCCAGCUCAGUCAGCUGUUGAAUAGAUAACCCAACACAGUUAACGUGGCAUACAUUGUAAAGAAUUACAUGCCUGCUACAAUGAGCUCUGGGCCUUUGGUCUAGAUAAUAAUCCUGGUGGGUGUACCACGUGUAGAGCCUGUCUGAUCGCUCAGAUAUGACUGACGAAACAGAAAGAAAAAUGUCAGUCUGCGAGAAGAAAAAUGCUGCUGUAAGUUUGUUUAAGGCUCACGCGCCGCCCGGGUUAACCCCAACCCUCCCGAAGGCUGUCAGGCCGCCUGUGCCUCUCCUGGGCUCCCUCCGAGGUGGCACCGGGGUCUGUCAGCUGCGAUGAGGGCUCUGGCCAUCUCUGCCCGCCGUGGUGGCCUCGUCUCCUCGGUUCCCAGCCAGCCCAGUCCCCGUGUCAGCUCAUGUUUGUGCCGCGGGAGCCUCGCGCCUCCGAGAAGGGGGAGCGUUCGCGGCUGCUUAAGUGCCGUGGCACAACUCAUCCCAGGGAACUGGAGUGAUAAUCGAGCUGGCAAUGGGGACUGGGCUGGGGGAGCAGUAAUUAAUACUGCUGGCAAAUUAGUGAGAUAAGUAAAUAAGUGGAGAUCAGCCCCUCGGCGGGGAGAUGAACGUGUGCGAGGGAUGCGGUCACGGCCCUGGGGCACCGCGGAGCUGGGGGAGGCCAAGGCCAGGGCUGAUGCUCUGCUUGGGUGCAGCAGCACCCAUGGCCAGCUCACCUCACCUGGGGAGGCUUUGCACUGGCCUUUGGCACCUCUAACCCCUUGUGCUGCUCCUGCAGGGUGUGAUGGAGCAUCCAUGGAUUGCACGUGUGAAGGACAGGGGCCACCAAGGUGUUCAUGCCCAUUGCCUGCCCGCUGCUGGAGGAGAAGGAGGGCUGAGCUCUCCUCCCAGGCUUUGCACAAACAGAUUUUUAAAUUUCUUUUGUGCUACAAAAUCGGUAUUUCCUUUAUACUUCCUGAUUUUUGUGCAUGCAUUUGGAGAGGAGGCAGUUUUGUAGCAAUACAGCUGCAUGUGCUGAAGCUGCUGCUGGGAUUCAUGAAUGACCUGCACGUGGUUUGAGCCAGUCCAGGCCUGGCCUUGGCAGGGUGAGGGCAGGGACACACCGUGGUGACAACUGUCCCUCAGGCACCAAUGGUGACGUCUGUCCAUGAGAAAUUCGGGGUUGCUGUGUCCGUGAGACUCUGUCUCCAGAGGCUGCUCUUUAUUUACCUCAGGGCUCAAAUACCACUGGACCAACUUGACACCUGAAAAUUGCAAUUUGACAGUUGAAAAUUGAUUUUCGGAUAUUUUAACGCCACGUCCGAGGAUCAUUUUUGUUUGCCUGAGUGACUGUGGGAUGGAGUUGGCCAGAAAGGUGGGAUCCCUUGGAAAAGCCCAAGCAGGAAGAGCUGAUGUUUGGUGACAGGGGUUUCAGCCACUCCAUCCAGGUGUGUUUUAAAGAGCACCAUUGUGGGGGUGGUGUUUGUGCCGUGGCAAACUCAGGGCUGUUCCAGGGUUAUUCCAGUAAGAGCUGCUCACACGAACUCCUGCAAACAGCUUUGCUUCAUUUUGGGGUGUUUUUCACAGCAGUCAAAUACUGGUGCUUUAUUUAUGACACCAAUAAUACUCCUGUGCCACAACAGGACACUUUUAUUGCUGGGUUUGAAGUAUUUGCAUUUUUAUUUAAAAGUCUGAGCCAAGCAGCAAUUGGAAAAAAAAUCUCAACAGGAAUAAAUAAGAAUUUGACAAAAAUAUGCAUUGGGGGCCCCUAAAGAGCUGAGCAGCAGAGAAGGGAGCUCAGCCUUUCCAUCCAGGGUGGCUUCAGGAGGGGAGGGGGGGCAGUGGUGGCCAUGUGGGUCACUGGGGUAGCCUCCCCCUCACCCACAUUGCUCAGCCCUGGAAAUGGUUUCACAAACAGUGGUUUAUGACUGAGUUUUGCUAUUACAAACACUUUUAUUUUCUCUUUCUGGUACAGUCUCUUGAAAGAAGUCACCUUCCAGGAGCUGUAGCUGAAAAUACCGAGCAAUGGAGCUGCCAAUCUACCCUUUUUUUUUGGUAAAAGCUUGAAGUAGUCUUAUAUUGUCCACUUAUUUGGUUCAGGAAAGAGUUCAAAGCUCAUCCCAGCAGAUGAAAAAAAAAAAAUCUCAGAAAAAUCCAAGCAGUACCUGUGUUAAAUUCUAGUCUCACAGAAAAAGAAAGGCUGAGAGAAAUUAUUAGUGUUAAUAAUAGGAAUAUAGGAGCUGAAGGUAUCAUUUUGCAGGUAAGGAACAGAUACUCACACUGGUGCAGGAGCUUUUCCCUUCCUUGUGGUGGAUUCCCAUCCUUUAAACAGCCAAACUGGGGCUUUCUAGUUGAGAUUCUCGGAAUUGCCCUCUGGAGGCACCUGUCUGUUCCUCUGAAUACUUUAACUGAAAUCAAUAGCAAGAGGAUGCUCUUCGGUAUUUGACCAAAAAACAGGCCCCUCAUAUCUUUUUUCACAGUAAUCUUAAGAGAUAUAAUCCUUCAACUGAUGCUGGAGGAUUUUGUUCCUGUACCCACCCGACAUAUGUUUAUGCAUUUUAAUAUGAAAGCCUCUCUAAUGGCUCCCAUUCAAAUCCCAGGCUAAUGAUGCAAAGUGUGCAGCAGGAAAUGCAGCAAUUCCUCACAGUUUCUGUCGCUGCAUUUUACUUACGGCUCCCGUUCAGCAACCUGGCACAAACCUCUUACAAAACUGAGAAAACAGAGUUUCAGAGAAAGCCCUUAAAUUAUGUGCUUGAUUUUCUUAAUAUAGAAGAGGGGUUCAGUUUGGGGUUUGGGUCCACCACCAGCUCAGUACUAAUUUGCAGGGGGCUUGUUUGGGAAGUGAUCCCCGGAGCGAAGGUGGGAGUCGCUGGCAGUGGGAGAUCCCAUCCCUGCAGCUUGUCCUGGAUUCAUUCCCAGGUGGCUGCAGCCAGUGUGCUGAUGCUGGGAAGGUUAUGCUUCCAGCCCCAGGUGGGAGUGGGCAUGAGGUUUGCUUUGCAGAGAGGGCACAGCCUUGUUGGAUGCUCAGGAUCCCUCCCGUCCGGAGCCGGCUCUGGGUGACGCUCUUUGGGAAGAUGGGGCUGGGGAAAAAUAACCAAAGGAGGAAUGCUCUGCAGAAAUGCCUGGGAUACCCACCCAGAGGUGUAGGCACACUUAUGUAUUUCAGAGAGCUGCCUGCCUGCUGCUCUCCCCAGGGGGGACACGGGUGUCCCCUGCCCUGGAGGGGGCUGUGGGUGCCGUGCCCUGCCCAGGGACACACACGCUUUUUCCACCCUUGCCUUUUCUUUUUCCCUUGUCACAUUUAUCCUCUCAAAAUGUUGAAUUAUGUUUGCAGGCAUGGAAAGAUGGAAUUUCAGUGCCUGUUCCCCACUAUGUGUAAGGGGGAGCCGGGGGUUGGUGGCUGAACAGGAGCACAGCUCCAAGGAACAGGAAUUUUGUCUGGUCCAGCAGUGCCGGAUGCAGCGUAAAAACUUACAGCCACCAAUCCCCACCGCGACUGCGUUUCUUUGCUAAUGGAAACAAAAGCACCAGGGAAGAAACGUGGUCAGAGAUGAGGGAGAAUGAUCCCUGGGAUGUCCCAUCACCUGAAACUGAGAGCAAGCACAGCAAGGAGAGCACCCUUUGUACACCAAACCAGGGCUGAAGGUGAGGUCUAAGCACACACUGAGGUGUUCUCACUUCUUCUGUACCAUAACACCUGGGUCCCGUGGUCACAGAUUUACUUAAACCAUGUCUGGCACUGUACAAACCCAGCACAGCAAAAUCUUUCCUGCUGCAGGGAGUGGCCUCAGAGGUGCCUCUCACCACGGGUGCUGGUGGGGAUGGUGCCAGUCCUCGUGCAGGUGGUGUUGGUUUGCAGGAUCGGGGCAGAACUUGAAAAGAAUUCGUUUUCAUACCCUGUGCUUUGGGAAACUUGGUGUGGAGUAAGGAGGUGUCCUUGGCAAAACAGAAGAGAAGAGAACAAAACUAGGCUUCAGCACCAAAGUAGAGGUUUGGGGGAAGAAUCUUUCAUUGAAUCCCAGACUGGUUUGGGUGGGAAGGGACCUUAAAGCCCAUCCAGUGCCACCCCCUGCCAUGGGCAGGGACACCUUCCACCAGCCCAGGUUGCUGCAAGCCUGUCCAACCUGGCCUUGGACACUUCCAGGGAUCCAGGGGCAGCCACAGCUUGGGCCUUUAUCUCUAGAAAACACACUUUACUGAGAACAAAAUGUGUGGGACCACAAACACCUCCAUUUUUGUUUACAGCUGACAAACACUGUCCAGCCAGAGAGCUGCAGUUCCUGCUGCCCCACCUCAGGCUCUGGACACAGAAACAGUUCAGGAGUCCAGGCUCUGGCUGGCAGUUUAACUUAGCUGUCCCAUCUUUUGGAAGACAGCUGGGCUCGAGCAGAGAGCAGGGAAGGAGCAGAGGGCUCAGUGCAUGGUCAGCUUGGUCUUGGCUCACACCAUCCAAAGUCACUCGUCCUGCCCAGCAUGGGCCCAGCUUAAAGAGGUGAUAUUCAGGUCUUGCUACAGAUACUCAGGUUUGGAUCUCUUCCCCCUGUGCCAGGGAUGCCCAGAAAUACCAAAACAUUUAUUAUCAUUUCAAAUUUCAAGAUUUCUAUGAAGUAUUAUGACAAAAUACCCCUGAUUUAUUUACCAGGGUAAUUCUAAAAGUAUUUUCAUUUUAGCAUUAAAUUGUACAUGUAUUCCACAAAAAAAAAAAAAAGCAUCAUAAGGGGUGAUAAAAAUAUCUUUGAAAAUAUCGUGUAUCAUUAAAAAAAACGCUUCAGUUUUUCUUUCCUUAAGGGCCAGGUUUGAGCAUAAAGGGACUGAUAACUCAUGUCCAGCCCUGCCUGAUGUGGCUCUGUUCAGGGGAAGGCACAGAUGUGGUGUCCCCAGAGGUGUCACCCCCUGGACACCUUCAGAGCAUCCUUCCAUGGCACCCACAGGGGCAGAUGUUUUACCUCUCCCCCACCUUUGUAUCCCCAGUGUUGGGCAGGGAGACAUUUCCAUGGCUGCACGUGCACGUGUGUUUAUACCCAGAAGUCUCAAUCCCAGCCUGAAUUUCCAGGAGAUAAAUCCGUGUUUGCAGUUGGCAGGAAAAAUGCCUAAAUGUCACUGGGAUAUUUCUUACCUGCUCCUAACAAUUAUUAUUUUUAGGAGGAUCAUUAUGCAGUAGGGUCCUUUCUCCACUUAAGCUGAAAUAUUUCCCUCCCGUAGGAAAACCACAAGUCAACACCUUUUAAGAUUGGGAUUUAUUUUUUUCCCCCCCAUCUCAUCCUUCACUCCUGCAUCAUU